rnacentral:rRNA from 1 species
GACGAACGCUGGCGGCGUGCUUAACACAUGCAAGUCGAGCGGUAAGGCCCUUUCGGGGGUACACGAGCGGCGAACGGGUGAGUAACACGUGGGUGACCUGCCCUCAGCUCUGGGAUAAGCCUGGGAAACUGGGUCUAAUACCGGAUAUGACCUCCUAUCGCAUGGUGGGUGGUGGAAAGUUUUUUCGGCUGGGGAUGGGCCCGCGGCCUAUCAGCUUGUUGGUGGGGUGAUGGCCUACCAAGGCGACGACGGGUAGCCGGCCUGAGAGGGCGACCGGCCACACUGGGACUGAGACACGGCCCAGACUCCUACGGGAGGCAGCAGUGGGGAAUAUUGCGCAAGGGGCGAAAGCCUGACGCAGCGACGCCGCGUGGGGGAUGACGGCCUUCGGGUUGUAAACCUCUUUCGACCUUGACGAAGGCCUUCGGGUUGACGGUAGGGGUAGAAGAAGCACCGGCCAACUACGUGCCAGCCGCCGCGGUAA